CACGUAGGGUGCGAGCGUUGUCCGGAAUUAUUGGGCGUAAAGAGCUCGUAGGCGGUUCGUCGCGUCGGCUGUGAAAUCCCGAGGCUCAACCUCGGGUCUGCAGUCGAUACGGGCGGACUGGAGUUCGGCAGGGGAGACUGGAAUUCCUGGUGUAGCGGUGAAAUGCGCAGAUAUCAGGAGGAACACCGGUGGCGAAGGCGGGUCUCUGGGCAGUAACUGACGCUGAGGAGCGAAAGCGUGGGGAGCGAACAGG
rnacentral:rRNA from 1 species